rnacentral:rRNA from 1 species
CCUACGGGUGACAGCAGUGAGGAAUAUUGGUUAAUGGGCGGGAGCCUGAACCAGCCAAGCCGCGUGAGGGAAGAAGGUACAGCGUAUCGUAAACCUCUUUUGUCAGGGAACAAAGGCGGGGACUAGUCCCCGGAUGAGGGUACCUGAAGAAAAAGCAUCGGCUAACUCCGUGCCAGCAGCCGCGGUAAUACGGAGGAUGCGAGCGUUAUCCGGAUUGAUUGGGUUUAAAGGGUGCGCAGGCGGCCUGUUAAGUCAGCGGUAAAAGCCCGGGGCUCAACCCCGGCGAGCCGUUGAAACUGGCGGGCUGGAGUUGGAGAGAAGAAUGCGGAAUGCGCGGUGUAGCGGUGAAAUGCUUAGAUAUCGCGCAGAACCCCGAUUGCGAAGGCAGCGGACCGGCUCCACACUGACGCGGAGGCACGAAAGCGUGGGUAUCGAACAGGAUUAGAUACCCGGGUAGUC